rnacentral:rRNA from 1 species
GAUGAACGCUGGCGGCGUGCCUAAUACAUGCAAGUCGAGCGAACCACUUCGGUGGGAAGCGGCGAACGGGUGAGUAACACGUAGGUGAUCUGCCCAUCAGACGGGGACAACGAUUGGAAACGAUCGCUAAUACCGGAUAGGACGAAAGUUUAAAGAUGCUCCUGGCAUCACUGAUGGAUGAGCCUGCGGCGCAUUAGCUAGUUGGUGGGGUAAAGGCCUACCAAGGCGACGAUCAGUAGCCGGCCUGAGAGGGUGAACGGCCACAUUGGGACUGAGACACGGCCCAA